GGUCUUGUUGUCUUCUCAUCUUCACUUUGCUGCUGACACAAAAGAUUAGAGAGAGAGAGAGACUCUUCUUCUCUUCUUCACCACCUUAAAGAGAGACAUUAAAAAGAAGAGUAAGAGAGAGUUCGUUCUUAUGUCGACAAGGAGCAAACAUGUCUGAAGCGAUCUGAAGAUAUGGCGAGAGAGCGUUGGUUGGUUGUUACGGCGACUAACUAGGGUAUUGAACAAAUCUGAGGCAACCUGAUUCUACUGAUGAUGGUCUUUUUGACAGACCCCCGACUCAUUCAACACGGUCUUCCUCGAGCUUCAAGUUACGCUCCACUGACAACAGAUAUGAGAGGUGAAAAUUAAUAUCCUUUGUUUGAAGUUAAAUCCUUUAUUUAGAUGUGGAUGUUAUUGAAUUGUGAUGUAGCUUGUGCGGCAAAGUUAUCGCAGAACCGUGGACAACACACUUAUUAUGCCCUGUGCCCUGUGGAUCAUCCCAAAACCAGUUGGAGAUGUUACAUGUCCUCCUAAAGGUUGCAAUGUUUCUUGAAGGUAUGUGUGGCGCCUGGAAGAAGGUGAAUGGCUACCAACUCUCGUGUUAGCUAAAUCGUGCGAAAUGCAUGGCCAAGUUAUUUUUGUAACAGAUUGGAGUUCAAAGUCCAACAAUAUUGUCUCUGCUUCCCAUAACAGGAACUUGUAAGUUUCAAGCUUUGAUAUACUGAGAGCACUAUAUGAGCAGCAACAACAACGAUGGAAUGGAAAUCUCUUCUGGAAAGUUUAUCAUAGAAUCGUGGACAACACUUAUCCCCUGCCCUGUGGAUUAUCUCAAAACCAGUUGCAGUCCAAAAGAUGCGGAGCUAUUAAAUAUGAUGCAGCUUCUGGAAAGUUUAUUAUAGAACCGUGGACAACACUUAUGCCCUCACCUGUGGUUCAUCACAAAACCAGUUGGAGAUGUUACGUUUCUCCUCCAAAAGCUCAAUUGGUUCCUACUAUAGCUUUCCAGGUCUUUGUGUGUCAAAUGUAAAUGGAAUUUUGGGUGGUGGUUUACUCGCUGCUGGAGUAUAUUUGACUAUCUGCAGAUUGUAUUGUUACAGAAUGAGGGGUGAUGCACACUAUAUGACGCAGCAACAACAACGAUGGAAUUUAAAUCCUUUAUUCACAUGUGGAGGCUAUUGAAUAUGAUGCAGCUUGUGUGUUUGUGGUUAAAGUAAUCUCAGAACCGUGGACAAGACACUUAUUAUUCCCUGUGCCCUGUGGAUCAUCCCAAAACCAGUUGGAGAUGUUACAUGUCCUCCUAAAGGCUGUUGUUGGCCAUGGAAGGAAGAUACAAAUAUCAGUAGGACCCAAGUGAAUAGCCCAGAUGUUUCUUCUGUUGACUGGUGGAUGAUUCGAGGAUGGAGGCUGCUUGCUUGCAGAUCAAACUCAGUGGCCAAGAUUGUACAUGAUGAUGAGCUUGUGACAUUUUAAUGGCUGGUGGAUUCGAGGAAGGAGGCUGCUUGCAUGUCAAACUCAGUGAGCUAUUUAUUGAACAUGAUGCAGCUUCUGAAAAGUUUAUCAUAAAACAGUGAACAACAAUUAAUCCUUGCCCCCCUGUGGAUCAUCCCAAAACCAGUUGGAGAUGUAACAUGUUCUCCGAAAGAUGGUUCACUUUCUUCAUAGAAUCCGGGAUGAUGCACACUAUAUGACGCAGCAACACAACGAUGGAAUGGAAAUUUCGUAUCCCUUUUCUUGAUCUCUCUUCUGGAAAUUUAUCACAGCACGGUGGAUUCGAGGAGGCUGCUUGCAUAUCAAACUUAGUGGCCAAGGUUGUACAUGAUGAGUUAGUGAAGUUGUGAUGGCUGCUGGAGAAGAAUCUGAGCUACGCUUUGCUAAACCAGGUCUUAAAGAGGAAGCCCUAGAAGACCUUUUCCUAAAAAAUUAAACUUGGUGAUAUUAUGUUUCCAUGGAUGUUUGAUGAGAUUCAUGCCUUGAAGCCAUUCAAAGUUUCCGUUGAUCUCUUGGCCAUUAUAUGAUAGUCGCUACAUUAAAAAUACUAAGGUGCGUGUUGGGUUGGCCAUGGAAGAUACAUAACACAAGGAGCCUAGUGAAGGGCCCCCAGCUGAUGUUUGUUCUGUUGACUGGUGGACUCAGGAAAGAGGCUGCUUGCAGAGCCAAACUCAAAGGCUAAGGUCCGUGAUUAGAGUUCCUUGUACUCAAAGCUGAAGUCAACGGUGCUCUUCUCCAUCGAGACAUGUAUGUAUGAAGCCAGAACUUAGGAGAGAUUGUGUCUGAUACAUGUCAUUCUUGCUUUCUCUACCCGCAAUCCAGCUUCUCUCUUUCUCCUCCACGCUGAGACGAGAGCUAUGGAGUUUGGUGAAACCGAAGAGUGAUGUUGGCCAUGGGGGAUACUCAUAUCAGAUGGACCCAAGUGAAUAGCCCAGAUGUUUCUUCUGUUGACUGAAGUGUGGCUAAUCAUUGCUAUAUGUACAUGAUGAUGAGCAUUUGAAAUUGUGAUGGCUAGUGGAUUCGAGGAAGGAGGCUGCUUACAGAUAGUUAUUAUGCCUUGCACCAUGGAUCAUCCCAAAACCAGUUGGAGAUGUCACAUGUCCUCCAAAAGUUGCUUCUCUAGAUGGUCCGGAAAGUUGCAGCAGCUUCCUGCUCUUAUCAAGGAUUCAUUUAUUUUUGUUCAUUCUAUUUGAUCUACUUUUUUACUUGGGAAAGGAUUUAAUACAUUGCGUGAACUUGUUUAUAGGCUUCAUCUUCCGUGGCCAAUGUUGAUGAUUGGAAGUGGAAGUUAGGUGUUAACGAACAUGAAAUUGUUUCCAGAGACAAAUCUCGCCUAGAGAAUGGGGGAGAAGUAUGCGGAUGUGCAAUAUGCAGAGAGCCUGGCAGAGGGAAGAACGAUGUUGGAAUUCCAGAAUGAUUUAAAAACAGUUCAAAACGAUGUCCUGUGGUAACGAAGAAAAGCCUGAUGAUGGUUCCUUCAUCUCUCUUCCGUUUCCACUAUGGGAGGUUCCAUUUAGAUCUGAAAAAAGAUAAUUUGGAACCCUAGCUAAUACACGCUCUUGUCAACAUAUCACCAUGGAAGAAAUCGCCAUCAAAGUAAUCUUCUUCUGAUCAUGAAUUAUAUAUGAUUCGAAUGACAGUGUUGCAGAGGCUCCAAAAUCCCGAAUCAAAUUGUUGAACAAUUAGCACAUUCACGACGGUUUCCGUUGAGGGAUAUGACACUAUAUGACACUUCGAUGCCAGAGUAUUAUGUCAAGCUCGCGUUGUCAAAACUUUUCUCUUCAUGUGGACGUAUCGUACUUUGUUAUGUUCCCAGAGACUUUGCUAGGGGUAUCCUCAAGAGUGUUGCCUUCGUGAGGUUCGCUGGUGGCGUUGAAACUUAAUGGAACUGACGUCGGAGGAUGGACUCCAAUCGUUAAGCCUGCAACCUUACCGAUCGAUGAUGAUGUUAAUCCUUUUCCUGACCUUGAUCUUAGUAAUCCCUCGACUUGGAUUAAAAAAUACAGGGUCCUCGUUACCGGAUAUGACAAUUCGCUUCCUGAGAUUGAUCUCAAGAUGGCACUCUGUAGACAUUUCUCUUCAUGUGGAGAUAUCUGGAGAAUUGAUGUUUUCUCUAAUGCAGCUGACAUUACCAUGCAAGGAGAAGGAUGUGUUGAAAAGGCGGUGGAACUAAAUGGAAGUAUCAUGGGAGAAAGGACUCUUGUUGUUAAACCUGGUGCAACCAGAGGAAGGUGGCGCACCACCAAUUCUGAUGGAGAGAGCCAACCAAUGGGUUGUUUACCUAGUAGGAGGACGAUGAACGAGAAGAUGAAGGAGAAGGAGAAGGCCAAGAUGAGGGAGAUGAAGAUGAAGGUGAAGGUGGAGAGGGAGAUGAAGAAGUAGAAGGCUCUCCCUUAGGACUUGGAAAAUGCUCAAUAAUCAUUAUCUGCUUUAAUCUCUUUCUCUGGAUGUUAAAAAUAAUUAUACUAAUUAUGCGUUAUUUGCUUUUGCAAUUACAAAUGCUACCUUUGUUUUCUAAUUUUUAUUACUUCGGUUUCCGUUUCUC